rnacentral:rRNA from 1 species
GACGAACGCUGGCGGCGUGCUUAACACAUGCAAGUCGAACGGAAAGGCCCUGCUUUUGUGGGGUGCUCGAGUGGCGAACGGGUGAGUAACACGUGAGUAACCUGCCCUUGACUUUGGGAUAACUUCAGGAAACUGGUGCUAAUACCGGCUAGGAGCUCCUGCUGCAUGGUGGGGGUUGGACAGUUUCGGCGGUUGGGGAUGGACUGGCGGCUUAUCAGCUUGUUGGUGGGGUAGUGGCUUACCAAGGCUUUGACGGGUAGCCGGCCUGAGAGGGUGACCGGCCACAUUGGGACUGAGAUACGGCCCAGACUCCUACGGGAGGCAGCAGUGGGGAAUAUUGCACAAUGGGCGGAAGCCUGAUGCAGCAACGCCGCGUGCGGGAUGACGGCCUUCGGGUGGUAAACCGCUUUCGCCUGUGACGAAGCGUGAGUGACGGUAAUGGGUAAAGAAGCACCGGCUAACUACGUG